rnacentral:rRNA from 1 species
AUACGGAGGAUCCGAGCGUUAUCCGGAUUUAUUGGGUUUAAAGGGUGCGCAGGCGGCCAUUUAAGUCAGCGGUUAAAUCGUGGGGCUCAACCCCAUUCUGCCGUUGAUACUGGGUGGCUUGAUUGCGGUCGAGGUUGGCGGAAUUCGUUGUGUAGCGGUGGAAUGCGUAGAUAUGACGAAGAACACCGAUUGCGUAGGCAGCUGACCAGACCGCAAAUGACGCUCAUGCACGAAAGUGCGGGGAUCGAACAGGAUUAGAUACCCUGGUAGUCCGCACAGUAAACGAUGAAUACUUGUUUUCGGCGAUAUAAUGUCGGAGGCAAAGCGAAAGCGAUAAGUAUUCCACCUGGGGAGUACGCCGGCAACGGUGAAACUCAAAGGAAUUGACGGGG